rnacentral:misc_RNA from 1 species
GAAAUGCGAUAAGUAGUGUGAAUUGCAGAAUUCAGUGAAUCAUCGAAUCUUUGAACGCAUAUUGCGCCCUUUGGUAUUCCAAAGGGCAUGCCUGUUCGAGCGUCAUUUGUACCCUCAAGCUUUGCUUGGUGUUGGGCGUCUUGUCUCUAGCUUUGCUGGAGACUCGCCUUAAAGUAAUUGGCAGCCGGCCUACUGGUUUCGGAGCGCAGCACAAGUCGCACUCUCUAUCAGCAAAGGUCUAGCAUCCAUUAAGCCUUUUUUCAACUUUUGACCUCGGAUCAGGUAGGGAUACCCGCUGAACUUAAGC